rnacentral:misc_RNA from 1 species
GAUGAAGAACGUAGCGAAAUGCGAUAAGUAAUGUGAAUUGCAGAAUUCAGUGAAUCAUCGAAUCUUUGAACGCACAUUGCGCCCUCUGGUAUUCCGGAGGGCAUGCCUGUUCGAGCGUCAUUUCGACCCUCAAGCAUUGCUUGGUGUUGGGGCACCGCCUGUAAAAGGGCGGGCCCUGAAAUCUAGUGGCGAGCUCGCCAGGACCCCGAGCGUAGUAAUUAUAUUUCGUUCUGGAAGGCCCUGGCGGUGUCCUGCCGUUAAACCCCCAACUUCUGAAAAUUUGACCUCGGAUCAGGUAGGAAUACCCGCUGAACUUAAGCAUAUCAAUAAGCGGAGGA